rnacentral:rRNA from 1 species
GCAUAUCAAUAAGCGGAGGAAAAGAAACUAACUAGGAUUCCCCCAGUAACUGCGAGUGAAGAGGGAAGAGCUCAUCAUUGGAAUCUGGCAGUGUUGCACUGUCCGAGUUGUAGAUGAGGAGUAGUCCGUCUGGACUGCAUGGCGUCCAAGUACAAUAGGCCGUCAGUGGGACAUCAUAGAGGGUGACAAUCCCGUCCUUGACGCCAAUGUGCAAGUCUAUUACGAUGGCUAUCUCAGAGAGUCGAGCAGCUUGGGAUUUGCUGCUUAAACAUGGGAGGUAGAUUCCUUCUAAAGCUAAAUACAGGCGAGAGACCGAUAGAGAACAAGUACCGCAAGGGAAAGAUGAAAUAGCACUCUGUGAAGGGAGUCAAAAGGCGUGAAAUUGUUGCGAGAGAAGCGAUUCAAGUCAGCGUAGCUAGGCCCAUCAAGCGUCUUCGCUUUGGACUAGCUUUGCCAGCGGUCUUGUCCCUUGAAGAGACUUGACUUGUAAUAUGUCCAGCCUGGCGUGCACAGGCAGCCCCUUCUGGGGGCCAGUGGCAUGGCUGGUGGAAUGGCUUGCAAUCGACCCGUCUUGAAACACGGACCAAGGAGUCUAACAUGUAUGCGAGUAUAAGGGUGGCAAACCCGUAUGCGCAAUGAAAGUGAUUUUCGGUGAUUGAGAAUGGCCUGAUGACCAGACAAGCAAUAUAUGUCCCUCGUACGGCCAUUGCCCAAGUUCCGUGGUAGAUCCCACGAACAUGGAGUUGGAGCAUACAUGCUAGGACCCGAAAGAUGGUGAACUAUGCCUGGACAAAGCGAAGCCAAAGGAAACUCUGGUGGAGGCUUGUAGCGAUUCUGACGUGCAAAUCGAUCGUCUGAUCUGGGUAUAGGGGCGAAAGACUAAUCGAACCAUCUCAUAGCUGGUUCCUGCCGAAGUUUCCCUCAGGAU